CUCUAAUAAAUCAUUUCCCACCCUUGAAGAAAUAGGAAUGAAUGAGGAUGUUACUGCACCUGUGACUGUGAGUACACAUAUAGGUUUGGUUUUCACCUGAAUCCAUUACUUGGUGUGGUUUUCCAUCUGUCUGGAUGAAGGGAGAAGGUUGGAUCAGGUGCGCAGCAGUCAUGUCCUCCUUUCCAGCAAAAGUCUGGACUAGUGGUCAUCGAAAGGGUUGAACCAUCAUAUAAAAUACUUCCUGAUUAAGUUUUGCAUUAAAGAUAUUUGGGGACAAAAGACGGAGUUUCAUCUGAGUGGAAGCCCGCAGUCAAUUUAGAAUACAAAAUUAAGCAUGUGACUGUAAAUUUCA